GGGUUGUGAGGUUAAGCGACUAAGCGUACACGGUGGAUGCCCUGGCAGUCAGAGGCGAUGAAGGACGUGCUAAUCUGCGAAAAGCGUCGGUAAGGUGAUAUGAACCGUUAUAACCGGCGAUGUCCGAAUGGGGAAACCCAGUGCAAUUCGUUGCACUAUCGUUAACUGAAUACAUAGGUUAACGAGGCGAACCGGGGGAACUGAAACAUCUAAGUACCCCGAGGAAAAGAAAUCAACCGAGAUUCCCCCAGUAGCGGCGAGCGAACGGGGAGCAGCCCAGAGUCUGAAUCAGCUUGUGUGUUAGUGGAACGGUCUGGAAAGUCCGACGGUACAGGGUGAUAGUCCCGUACACCAAAAUGCACAGGUUGUGAACUCGAAGAGUAGGGCGGGACACGUGGUAUCCUGUCUGAAUAUGGGGGGACCAUCCUCCAAGGCUAAAUACUCCUGACUGACCGAUAGUGAACCAGUACCGUGAGGGAAAGGCGAAAAGAACCCCGGCGAGGGGAGUGAAAAAGAACCUGAAACCGUGUACGUACAAGCAGUGGGAGCACCUUCGGGUGUGACUGCGUACCUUUUGUAUAAUGGGUCAGCGACUUAUAUUCUGUAGCAAGGUUAACCGUAUAGGGGAGCCGCAGGGAAACCGAGUCUUAACUGGGCGUUAAGUUGCAGGGUAUAGACCCGAAACCCGGUGAUCUAGCCAUGGGCAGGUUGAAGGUUGGGUAACACUAACUGGAGGACCGAACCGACUAAUGUUGAAAAAUUAGCGGAUGACUUGUGGCUGGGGGUGAAAGGCCAAUCAAACCGGGAGAUAGCUGGUUCUCCCCGAAAGCUAUUUAGGUAGCGCCUCGUGAACUCAUCUUCGGGGGUAGAGCACUGUUUCGGCUAGGGGGUCAUCCCGACUUACCAACCCGAUGCAAACUACGAAUACCGAAGAAUGUUAUCACGGGAGACACACGGCGGGUGCUAACGUCCGUCGUGAAGAGGGAAACAACCCAGACCGCCAGCUAAGGUCCCAAAGUCAUGGUUAAGUGGGAAACGAUGUGGGAAGGCACAGACAGCCAGGAUGUUGGCUUAGAAGCAGCCAUCAUUUAAAGAAAGCGUAAUAGCUCACUGGUCGAGUCGGCCUGCGCGGAAGAUGUAACGGGGCUAAACCAUGCACCGAAGCUGCGGCAGCGACACUAUGUGUUGUUGGGUAGGGGAGCGUUCUGUAAGCCUGCGAAGGUGUGCUGUGAGGCAUGCUGGAGGUAUCAGAAGUGCGAAUGCUGACAUAAGUAACGAUAAAGCGGGUGAAAAGCCCGCUCGCCGGAAGACCAAGGGUUCCUGUCCAACGUUAAUCGGGGCAGGGUGAGUCGACCCCUAAGGCGAGGCCGAAAGGCGUAGUCGAUGGGAAACAGGUUAAUAUUCCUGUACUUGGUGUUACUGCGAAGGGGGGACGGAGAAGGCUAUGUUAGCCGGGCGACGGUUGUCCCGGUUUAAGCAUGUAGGCUGAUUGUCCAGGCAAAUCCGGAUAAUCAAGGCUGAGGUGUGAUGACGAGGCACUACGGUGCUGAAGUAACAAAUGCCCUGCUUCCAGGAAAAGCCUCUAAGCAUCAGGUAACAUCAAAUCGUACCCCAAACCGACACAGGUGGUCAGGUAGAGAAUACCAAGGCGCUUGAGAGAACUCGGGUGAAGGAACUAGGCAAAAUGGUGCCGUAACUUCGGGAGAAGGCACGCUGGUGUGUAGGUGAAGUCCCUGCGGAUGGAGCUGAGACCAGUCGAAGAUACCAGCUGGCUGCAACUGUUUAUUAAAAACACAGCACUGUGCAAACACGAAAGUGGACGUAUACGGUGUGACGCCUGCCCGGUGCCGGAAGGUUAAUUGAUGGGGUUAUCCGUAAGGAGAAGCUCUUGAUCGAAGCCCCGGUAAACGGCGGCCGUAACUAUAACGGUCCUAAGGUAGCGAAAUUCCUUGUCGGGUAAGUUCCGACCUGCACGAAUGGCGUAAUGAUGGCCAGGCUGUCUCCACCCGAGACUCAGUGAAAUUGAACUCGCUGUGAAGAUGCAGUGUACCCGCGGCAAGACGGAAAGACCCCGUGAACCUUUACUAUAGCUUGACACUGAACAUUGAGCCUUGAUGUGUAGGAUAGGUGGGAGGCUUUGAAGCGUGGACGCCAGUCUGCGUGGAGCCAACCUUGAAAUACCACCCUUUAAUGUUUGAUGUUCUAACGUUGGCCCCUGACCGGGGUUGCGGACAGUGUCUGGUGGGUAGUUUGACUGGGGCGGUCUCCUCCCAAAGCGUAACGGAGGAGCACGAAGGUUAGCUAAUCCUGGUCGGACAUCAGGAGGUUAGUGCAAUGGCAUAAGCUAGCUUGACUGCGAGCGUGACGGCGCGAGCAGGUGCGAAAGCAGGUCAUAGUGAUCCGGUGGUUCUGAAUGGAAGGGCCAUCGCUCAACGGAUAAAAGGUACUCCGGGGAUAACAGGCUGAUACCGCCCAAGAGUUCAUAUCGACGGCGGUGUUUGGCACCUCGAUGUCGGCUCAUCACAUCCUGGGGCUGAAGUAGGUCCCAAGGGUAUGGCUGUUCGCCAUUUAAAGUGGUACGCGAGCUGGGUUUAGAACGUCGUGAGACAGUUCGGUCCCUAU
rnacentral:rRNA from 1 species